CAGAGAGGGAGACCGAAGGAGAGAGCGCAGAGAGGGAGAAUGUGUCUGCGUGCGUGUGCACAGCCAAAAUUGGUCAGAAAGGGGAGUAAAGUGGGACACGAGCUUCAAAGUAGGGAAACCAAAGAAGGGAGCAUCCACGUCCUCUCUCUGCAGCUUCUCCCCCGCGUUCUUCGGGCGAAUCCGAGGGACGGGCGCUGCGCUGGGGAAAGUUUGUCCCACCCGCGUUUCGCAGCUGGUUGCAAGGAGAGGAGGAGGAGAGGGAGGGUCAAGCUCGGAGCCUGUGACCGCACGGAUGAUCGAGCCGGCGUCGCGCUUACCUCGCAGUCCUCGUACUUGAUAUUAUCCGUCAAUUUCCAAAGCAUUUUCAUGGAUCGGCGUGAACGGAUAUGCCCCUCUCGGUCUCGCACCCAAGUGGAGCUACUCUCUGGCUCUUUACCAACAGCCUAAUCGCCUCAUUAGCAUAUCAACAAUAGUCCAAUUGCUCGCCAGUACCACAAUCUGCCGCCGGCCGCUCCGACACAGAGAUGCCUUCUGCAAAGCCCGGCACUGCUCAAGGUCCAAGCGCCACGCCUGGGGCCCAGCUUCUAGCACUUCUCCCUUAACCCUGCUACCACGAUCCGAGCUGCCCUUUUGGCCCCGUGCAAUUUUAUUAGAAAUCAUUAUCCCUUUCGCAAUUAAACAUAACCACCAAACCAAGACCGGCGAAGUCACUCCAGGAUUUUUUCCCAACAAGGGAUCGCCUCCGCUCGAGGCAGCCACCCCCUCGGGCCGCAGCGCCUUGGGAGUUUUAUUGGCUUUGAGCUUUCCCCCAGGUUGGAGAUUCUGCCAAGCGGCUCCGGUGGCUCUGCUGGGGUUUGCAAUCCCUUAAUUGCAGCGUGUAAAAUAAAAGUUGUACCCUGAAGAGGUUACUUGACAGCUCCAGGGGUUAAACAAUUUUUCUCCUGUUUGUGUGAAGCUAGGGCCAACUGACAGUUCAAAUUGGUGUUCAGGCUAAGGUUUCCUGGGUGCAACGUGGACACGAAUACAGAACUCCUAUGGAACUGCACACCCGCUUCUGAAGUUGAGCCUAAAAACAGACGUGUGUGUGCCUGCAAGUCUAGAUACCGUCUCGUGCGUGCAUCAAAAUAAAUCACCGGGAACCGACUUUUAGCUGUGUUAAUCUGCUCUAGUUUUCCCAAGAUUCCCCUUUUUAAUUAAAGCAGGGAGAGUUCCUUCAUGAUUUGGUGAUGCUACUAACGCGGGCGUGCUCGCGAGGCAGAGCCCGGCUGCCGCGGAACCUGGAGGCCUGGGAGCCACCUACUCGUCCAGACUGGUCAGUCCGGGCUUUUGGACUCCUCACCGGGGCCUGCUGGGUCCUCUGGGGCUUUUAUCCCUUUCGGUUUUGGGAUUUUUUUUUAAGUAAGAAAAAAAAAAAAGAAAAGGACCUAAUGUGACACUAGGAAAUACAGAGUAAUUAAUUUUCCUGGCUGAGCUUCCUCGUUUGUCCUCCAAAAGAAAGUUACCUCUGUCUUUUCUCUCUGCUAUAUGUACAAACUCCUUAACUACACUAGGUCCCGCCUCAGAGUUGCUCUAGUAAGGACCUUUGAUUCAUCUGGGCUUGUUUCUCGAAAAUCUCCAGGCCUCCCAUAUUUCCACCGGG
rnacentral:lncRNA from 1 species